CAGAAUGCCACGGUGAUACGUUCCCGGGCCUUGUACACACCGCCCGUCACACCAUGGGAGUGGGUUGCAAAAGAAGUAGGUAGCUUAACCUUCGGGAGGGCGCUUACCACUUUGUGAUUCAUGACUGGGGUGAAGUCGUAACAAGGUAACCGUAGGGGAACCUGCGGUUGGAUCACCUCCUUACCUGAAAGAAGC
rnacentral:rRNA from 23 species